rnacentral:rRNA from 1 species
AUACGGAGGGUGCAAGCGUUACUCGGAAUCACUGGGCGUAAAGGACGCGUAGGCGGGUUGGUAAGUCAGGUGUGAAAUCCUACAGCUUAACUGUAGAACUGCACUUGAAACUACCAACCUAGAGUAUGGGGGGGGAGAUGGAAUUAGUGGUGUAGGGGUAAAAUCCGUAGAUAUCACUAGGAAUACCGAAAGCGAAGGCGAUCUCCUGGAACAAUACUGACGCUAAGGCGUGAAAGCGUGGGGAGCAAACGGGAUUAGAAACCCCAGUAGUCC